rnacentral:rRNA from 1 species
GAUGAACGCUGGCGGCGUGCCUAAUACAUGCAAGUCGAGCGAACAGACGAGGAGCUUGCUCCUCUGACGUUAGCGGCGGACGGGUGAGUAACACGUGGAUAACCUACCUAUAAGACUGGGAUAACUUCGGGAAACCGGAGCUAAUACCGGAUAACAUGUUGAACCGCAUGGUUCAACAGUGAAAGACGGUCUUGCUGUCACUUAUAGAUGGAUCCGCGCUGCAUUAGCUAGUUGGUAAGGUAACGGCUUACCAAGGCAACGAUGCGUAGCCGACCUGAGAGGGUGAUCGGCCACACUGGAACUGAGACACGGUCCAGACUCCUACGGGAGGCAGCAGUAGGGAAUCUGCCGCAAUGGGCGAAAGCCUGACGGAGCAACGCGGCGUGAGUGACGAAGGUCUUCGGAUCGUAAAACUCUGUUAUUAGGGAAGAACAGAUGUGUAAGUAACUGUGCACGUCUUGACGGUACCUAAUCAGAAAGCCACGGCUAACUACGUG